AAUUCAACCAAAUUUUAAUCAGUUCUUCCUUAGCCGAUGGGAAAUGCAUUCAAAAAAUUUCGUACGGAUAUGUUUGGUAUUUCUUGAGUUAUCGUGCUCACAGACAAACACACACACAUACAAACCCAGAUGAUUACAUAACGUCCUGGCGGAGGUAAUAAGACUAGAACUAGAAGGCCUAGGUCUAGGCUGGUAGUAGUAGUAGUAGUAGUAGUAAAAACUUUAUUUACCCACGCUAACCCUGUCAACCGAAGCUGAUUUCCACAGGGGGCGUGCAAUAAGAAAGUACAAGAAUAUUUACAAAAGCUAAUUACAAAAGAUAAUAUCAACUAAAUCUAAGUAAAUCUAAGUAAAUCUAUAUAUAUUUACAGGUUUAUAUUUAAGGUUGUUUUAGGUUCUUGUUUUAAUUAAAAAUGUGAGUAGCAAUUUUAUUUUGAAAACAUGAUAAGGAUUUGCACUCCCUAAUUUCGCUUGGAAUAGAAUUCCAUAUGUGAGCACCG